GUCACACACAACAGACCAAGCAAAAGAGGGACUACUUGUAGUCUACUUAUGAAGUACUAAGUAAUAUUUUUGGUUUAGAUCUGCGUCAGUGACUGUCCUGUGACCGGCAAGCUAUUUUGAUCAAUUGCAGCUGUGUGAAUGAUAUAUAUGACCGUGACAAUAUGACGGUGACCUUCAUUGUAUAAACUGCAGUGUUUUACAAGGAUUUCCAGCCCUGAGAAAAGCUGUAAUUUAUUGAAUGUGUAAAAUUACCUCAAAUUAUUUUACUUUGAUGAUAUUGAUGACGUACGUAAAGAUAUGUUUGAUAUCAUGUUUGACCCUUUAACUGUACUGUUUUUUUCCCGAAAGUCAAGCCCUGCAUUGAAGUCUUUGGCAAUCUUCGGUUAUUUUUAGAAAUGUUCAGGUGGGCUUCAGACAACUAUUGGAGAAUUUUCUGAAAUCUUCAAAAGUGGUUGGAAGUCUUUGGAAAAUUGUCAUAACAUCCUUAUUAGUAUGUUUAUACAAUAAGCAAAAUAAUACACGGUUGCUUGAAGAUAUGGAAUUUCUCUCUCAUGUUCAACUUUAUAUCUCUCUAGUGAGUGCAGUGAAUGAGUGAGAUAUCGAGUUGAACACUCAAAGAGAAAUUCCAUAUCUAUGCGCAGCCAUGUAUUAUUCUCUUCUUAAUGUGUUGGGUAAAAUUUUAUCAUGCACAAUCUUUGGGAAAUGGAGUGGUGAGCCAAGAAAUUGACAGCAUGGAAAGUUGUACUCCUGUUUGCUUGUUCAGAGAAAUGGGACAAAAGGAUACAAUGCCAGCAUGUGUUAUUAGUUUUUGUCUCAGUAUUUGCAUUUGAAUGUGUUUUUUCAGAUAAUGAGAGAGCUAUCAAUUUCUUCACCAAAAUCAUGAAGUUCCAAACAGAUGAAACUUCUCCGGCCAUCUGGGAUCCAAUGAACCCUGAGGAUUAUUGCUAUGACAUCCUCAGUAAAACAUUAAUGAGAAAAACACAAGCAACUAAUGAUACAAUCAGCAAGGAAUAGAUAGGAUACAGCUAGAAAUUCACAAGUGACUUUCAUUAGCAAGUAACCAUGCAUUACAUCAAUUUUCCUGAUUUCCCCCUCCCUUCCGCCGUUGUUCAAUGUCAACUGAACAUGGCUUGCUAGAAACUAUCUUGUCUCUUUUUUGUAUAAGUGGGUCUGCCGGUUGCGAUAAUGAUUCCAAAUGUUGCGGUCCUUUUCAAACUUAACCGUCGUACAAAUGAACAGCUCAAAGAGCAGAAUCCGGUAAUGCGUGGGCAAAUUUUCAAACUUCUCUAGUAUAUGCUGGAUGUACGAUGUGGCGUGUAAUUGGGUGCGCAGUGUGGAUGGGCACAAACACUUGCGUCUUUAAAAUCUAGAGGUAUUAGAAUAGUUUCUAAAGAAACUGUUAGGCUGCGUAAGCGUGCAAGAGGAACAUGGCUAUUUAUCUAUUUGAAAUUGGUAAAAGGUAAGUUAACUGCUCUAGAAAGUUUGUCAGUGAAACUGAUGUUUAGAGCAAGAGCUCUUUGUCAGAGCGAAAUGACUUUGUUCUGAAGGUCUAAUGCUCGAUACGCUAGCUUCAUUAGGUACGGCGGUUAAUUUAUCUUAGUCUUCAAGUUAAUAAACAACCGAGCUAGAGUCUAGACAGACAUUUGAAAGGAGCUACGUCAUGUAAAUGGCAUCGUGAAAAAAAAAAACACCACUCUCAGUGUGGAUUCUUCGGUUCCUUUGACGCACCAUGAUCCCAGAGAUCUUGGAUUGAUCUGUUCAGUAAAGAAACGCAAAAUCCGUUUUCGGAUUCUUUGGGAUUUAAAGAUCCAAUCAUGGGUUUUCUUAAAGAAACGCACCCUUAGUAAACUGAGUAUGAAAAUCAGUUGUGUAGGACGGGGCAUGUCGUUUAUUGAUCAGACAUAUACGGUCCUUAGUAUAGUUAUUACAACGAACUUAUAACAUGGAAAUUUACUGAAAUAAAAUUUCGAGAUUGAAAUGAUGAAAAACAGAGAGGCUGUCGAGUGGUUUCUCCUACGUAAGCUGUAUACCAACGGAUCUACUGUACAUACAGACACGUAACUAUCUAACAAUAACGGCCUGAAAAACUAUAGUUAUUUUCAGCUGACCAAGUAAGGUGACGUUUACUAUAAUUGUUUAUAUGGUGUUUUUCAACCUUUUCUGACGAUAAUUGUAUGUAUCAGAAAAAUAAUAUGACCUAUCAUGACAGCUGGUUGAAGUGGAGAGAUUUUGACAUUGCAGAUUUCUUGCAUCCUUGAACAUCAAGAAGAAAAGAAACCAAGAUUGGCUGUUUGCUAUUUGACUACUAAACUCAGUAAGCAGAGCGAUGUUAGAAUGUAUUUUUUCCUAUCACUCCGUAACAUCGUUAUCGUUGAACUAGUCUUGCAAGUCAAAUGUGGCAUACUACAAAGACAAUUUCAAAACUAAUCUGGUGUACUUUUUGUAGUUAAAACUGAUCAAACAAAUAUUGUAUUAACCCUCGAAAAUCACUA